UUUCCGUAGGUGAACCUGCGGAAGGAUCAUUCAUAAUAAAGUGUUUUAUGGCACUUUUUAAAAAUCCAUAUCCACCUUGUGUGCAAUGUUAGAUCUCGUCAAUCUUGGCGAGAUUUUUAUACAUCAACUCAUUCUUUAACUAAUUUGUCUGAAAAAUAGUAUGAAUACUUAAUUCAAAAUACAACUUUCAACAACGGAUCUCUUGGCUCUC
rnacentral:misc_RNA from 1 species